UACGUAGGGUGCAAGCGUUGUCCGGAGUUACUGGGCGUAAAGGGCGUGUAGGUGGUUUCGUAAGUCUGGCGUGAAAUUUUUCGGCUUAACCGGGAAAGGUCGUCGGAGACUGCAUAACUAGAGGACGGUAGAGGCGUGUGGAAUUCCGGGUGUAGUGGUGAAAUGCGUAGAGAUCCGGAGGAACACCAGUGGCGAAGGCGACACGCUGGGCCGUACCUGACACUGAUGCGCGACAGCAUGGGGAGCAAACAGG
rnacentral:rRNA from 1 species